CGUUGUUGUUGCAGUUGUUGCAGUUGCAGUUGCAGUUGCAGUUCCGUAACGUGGCCAGAACGUUGCGCGGGCAAUUAUUAUUUUGUAAGACGUUUUACAAUUUAAUGGUUUUCAUGAAUGGACUGGGAUCCGACCCUCUGUCAGCAAAGGAGGCAGAGGGCCCUCCGGUUCAAGUUGAACCAGUUGAUUUGAGUUUGC